UACGUAGGGGGCAAGCGUUGUCCGGAUUUAUUGGGCGUAAAGCGCGCGCAGGCGGUCUGCCAAGUUCGGAGUGACAGUUUCCGGCUUAACCGGAAAAGGUCUUCGAAAACUGGUGGACUUGAGGACUUGAGAGGGAGACGGAAUUCCGGGUGGAGCGGUGAAAUGCGUAGAUAUCGUUUGGAACGCCAAUGGUGAAAACAGGUUGCUGGGGACAUGCUGACGCUGAGACACGAAAGCCAGGGGAGCGAACGGG
rnacentral:rRNA from 1 species